UACGUAGGGAGCAAGCGUUGUCCGGAAUCAUUGGGCGUAAAGCGCGCGUAGGCGGCCCUGUAAGUCCGUUGUGAAAGUCAAAGGCUCAACCUUUGAAAGCCGAUGGAUACUGCAGGGCUAGAGUCCGGAAGAGGCGAGUGGAAUUCCUGGUGUAGCGGUGAAAUGCGCGGAUAUCGGGAAGAACACCCGUGGCUAAGGCGGCUCUCUAGUACGGUACUGACGCUGAGACGCGAAAGCGUGGGGAGCGAACAGG
rnacentral:rRNA from 1 species